AUGAUGUUGAUGACGGAAGAACACCGUGUCGGGAUAAUCUACGGCGUCCGGUCUUCAAGAGACAUCAUCUUACUGUGAAUUAGUCCUAGAGAAAUCUAAAUAACCUCGAGAGGCGGGGUCGGAUGAGACAGUAAUGAAACUCCUAGACGUGGGCGAGCCUAACCAAAGGAGUCAGUCGAAAACUCGUUGUUGAAGUAGCGUAAACUCCCUGAUACAAACUCCCUGAUUCAAAGUAAUGUAUCAAAGUAAUACGAGAGGUGGCGAGUAUAAAUAAAUUUCCUGUUAUGCAGUGGAUUGUAACCGAAAUGAUACGAGUAGGCCACAUGGGAAGAUGAAACAUCUCUGGUCUUGUAGAGAUAGCAUAUUGAGCUACAAGAUGACACCGAAAGGUGU
rnacentral:sRNA from 12 species